GGCGGCAUGGCCAAGUGGUAAGGCGGGGGACUGCAAAUCCUUUAUCCCCAGUUCAAAUCCGGGUGUCGCCUGAU
rnacentral:tRNA from 2 species